GGCCUUUGUUUUUAUUCUCAAGUGCAUCUAUUAUAGCUGGUUUCUUUUCCCCUUCUCCUAUAAAACACAAAGUCCUGUCAUUGAUAAGAUAAGCUACAGUCGGAAUUAAAAAGGCUCCCCUUUCAUGGAUAUAGUCUUAUUUUUUAAAAUUAGGUUAAAUUCCAAGUUUCAACCUUGAACUACCAAAUUUUUAUCUAAUCGGUUAUUGAACUUUAUAGUCUUUGAAUUUCCAAUUGUGUCUAAUAGGUCCACGAGUUUCUAAUGAAUUUUCAAACUUCCAAUUUAGCAUCUAAUAAGUCAUUGAACUUUCAAUUUUGUAUCUAAUGUCUCAUUAGCCUAUAUGACAUUUUCUUAAUGUUUCAAAACUUAUUGUAUACAAAACUAGAAGUUUAGAUAUCUAUUAGACAAUUUUAAAGUCUAAGGAUCUUUGGGACGUAUUUGAUAUUUAAAGUUUAGAGACCUAUUAGAUACAAACCAGACUUGUAAUUUAAUAUAAACAAAUUAGCCCUUGCUCACAGUUUCUUUUGGGAUAUGAAUGGAGUCCCAUGUGUUGGGACAUCAGUCGCUUUUUGGACCCUUUUUGGUGCAUUGUCUCUAAAGAGUAAUGUAGGUAGUCUUCACUCUUUUAACUGGGGUGUCUUAAGCUCCUUAGCUUUUAGGAAGAUUUCUUUUCUUCCACCUAUGUAGAGAUUUUGAUGUUAAUGAAAUGAAGGAAAGAAAAAUCUGAAUCUGCUGGUCUAUAUAAUUUUACUGAUUAAAACAGAACAGGAAUUUAUGAAAUACCACAACACGAUUUAAAGUGUUUUUUUUUUGACAAUAUUCCAUAACAUGACCAGUCUAAUUUAAGCGCUAGGAAGUUGUUUGGUAUUUGUUAGAAUUAGUGGGCUUGGCCCUUAGAGUAUUUUUGGAAAGAAUAUGGAAGAUUUUCUCUAUUUCCUAAAUCGUUUCCUUUUUUACUCCUUAUUGUAUUCUAUUUAUUCUCCCUUUUUGUGCCUAUUGUAUAAAUUCAUCAGAAAAAAAAACUAAAAAUAUCGUGGUUUUUCUCCUGGUACUUGGGUUUCCACGUAAAUCGGUGUGUGCUCUUUGUCUCUACUUUGAAUAUGGUAUUAGAGCGGGACAUUGAACACACCUUAGAAACCCUAGAAGACACAACCAAUGAUGGAAAUCAAACAAAGGAGACAACCACCAGUUUUAGUGCCGCCGUCAUGCUCGGAUCAGUGCUGCCAUGGACAAAUGGUUCCGCCGCCUUCAGAAAACGUUGGAAAAUGCAUCCCUGUGAAUUCUGCAGUCGUUCGCACCACCGAACACACCUCACACGCCACCAUGCCCCUCCCAUGCGCCACUGCCAGACCUCCAUUUCCCUUCAUACUUGUGGGGAGAUACUAUUCUUAUAGCAGCUCAUUUAAUCAAUAGAAUGCCUUCUCGUAUCCUCCACCUUCAUACUCCCAUAGGCUGUCUUAAGGAGUCCUACCCUCUACUUAUCUUGUUUCUGAGGUUCCUCUUCGUGUGUUUGAGUAAUUUUGGCCCUAAUCAGACCAAAUUUACCCUCAAGCUCAGACAUGUGUGUUUGUUGGUAUCCUCUUCAUCAACACGGUUAUAAAUAUUUUCACCUGCUGUCCAGGAAAUACUUUGUUACUGUGGAUGUUACUUUCUGUGAGGACCGACCCUACUUUCCCAUUAGCCAUCUUCCGGGGGAGAGUGUGAGUGAAGAGUCUAACAACACCUUCGAAUUUAUUGAACCUACUCCUAGUACUAUGUCUAACAUCAAUCCUCAUCUCAUAGUCCUACCCACAAACCAAGUUCAUUGGAAAGCGUAUUAUAAAAGGAAUCUCAAAAAGGUAGUCGGGUCCUUACUAGUCAACCACCAACUCUAGUCUAAGAUUCCGAACCUCCUCGAGAUCAAGGUAUGGAAAACCCUACUGAACCUUGUACUAAUAAUACGAUGAGUGAGAAUGACAUGUCUGAUGUUGCUGUUCUUGAAAAUGUGGAAAAAGAAGAACUGUGUUGAUGAGACUGAGGUCAGAACAGAAACCAGUAAUAAUGAAGAAGUUGAACAGGGUCAUACAAAGAAACUUGAUGAGUAUGAUCCCUUUUGACAUUCCCAUUUCUCUGAGAAAAGGGAAGAGAUGAAGACUCUUGAAAAGAAUAGAACUUGGGAGAUUUGUGCUCUACCCAAGGGACUCAAAAUUGUGGGAUGCAAAUGGGUAUUCUCUCUCAAAUACAAAGCAGAUGGUAAUCUUGACAGACACAAGGCAAGGUUAGUUGCAAAGGGAUUUACUCAAACAGUAUUCAUAGGUCUUUUUCUUUGUAGCUGCAAAAUAAUACACUUGAAGCGAGUACUAUUAAAUAAAGGGAAAAGGAAGAGAUGUUUUAUCAUUGAAGAAGAGCAAAUAGUGGGAGAGUGCCCGAGGAUAAAAAACUAUUCAUUUCCUCUGUUAACUCUCUUCUUAUUUCUCCGAAGAAAAUGGUUGGAGCUUUUUUGUUAUCCCUGAUUAGUUAUCCUGUUCUCUAUUGCCACGUGGUUCUAGGACCACUAACCAUUCUAACUUCCAUACCGUCUAUGCGGAAUUUUCCUUUUUACCCCUCCUCUUAUACACUUGGGUAAUGGGUGGCCUGGCAGUACCAAGGCAUCAGACGUCCUUGAUAUUCCUCCUUGACUGGAGGCACUCUCUUUCAUGUCUUUCGCAAGCUGUUCCACACUCUUCUUCAAUCCGAGUAAGAUCUAGAUCUCUUUCAAGUCUAUGAUCUCCUUCUCACUGGACAUCAUUCUUUCCUUCAAUUGUUUAUGAGCCAUUGAACGUGUUCUCCCAAGGAUGUUGAGGCUUUGAUACCAAUUUGUUAGGACCCCAAACCUGAAAAGCAGAAAAAUCCCAACAAAUCAAAACAGAGAAAGUACUCUGUGCAAUACGUUGAUAUAAUAAACUCAAAAGUCUAACAAACAAUCAGGAAUGACAAGUAAGGAAAAUGAAAGCAACAAGAACAGUAACCCAGCUGGUCUAACAAACAAUCAGGAAUAACAAAUAAGGAAAAUGAAAGCAACAAGAAUAGUAACCCAGCUUCUUCAUGAAGGCUGGAAACUUCUCCUAAUAAAGCCUACAGCAGCUUUUUCCGAAACAAAACCGAAAGAGGCUAAUCCCCAAAACAUUCCCUUUAUAUUUCCUUACAAGUGUGGCCCUCAGGUGUAUAUUACUCCCCUCCAAUUGACUCUCUUAUUCCACCAUCCUGUGCAUUCCCCUUUUUGCCCCUUCUCUUAGAUGUGUGAAAAAUUGUGGGUCUAACAGUUGGCUGUCCACAGCAGAAUUCCAUAGUCGAGAGAAAGCAUCGACACAUACUCAAUGUUGCACGAGCUCUUUAUUUUCAACCUCAUGACCCUUUAUCUUUUUGGGGAGAAUGUAUAACUGCAGCUGUUUUUUUAAUAAACAGAACUCUGUCUGGACUAUUCAAACUAGAGUCUUCAUAUCAACUUCUUUAUUAAGAUGUACCCGACUACAAACAAAAAAGAGUUUUUGGCUCACUACGGUUUGCUUCAACCUUGUGCCACAAUAGAUCCAAGUUUCAGCUGUGUGCUAUUGCCUCUGUUUUUGGUGGAUAUCCACAAGGAAUGAAAGCAUACAAGUUAUAUGAUAUUCAACAGUGCAAGUUCUUUUAUCUCAAGGGAUGUUGUAUUCAAUGAAUCAGUUUUCCCAUUUCAUCAUAUGACAGAUAAUGUACAAACACAAGAUCCUUUUCCUGGUUUCGUGCUUCCAAGGUCAUUCAGUAUGGCUGAUUCUACACAUUCUUCUUCAGAUGAUCAUGGAGAUCCUUCAUCAGAUGCGAGAGAACCAUCUAAUGAUCAUGGUGAAUUACCUAAUCAAGAAUCUCUUGAAGAAACUACAAGUCAUCAUUCUGAUGAUCAAUUGCAAGUUGCAAGUGAUGUGAAUAAUGUUCCUCCAGAUUCUAAUAGCCAUAAUCAUGAUGCUCCUAUUUUGCUGCCACUUACAAAGUCUACAAGAGUGACCAAGGCACCUUCUUAUUUCAAGCCUACCAUUGCAACCUUAUGGUCAUGGACUCCAAUCUAGCCAACUGAGUCACUGAUUCUUCUACUCGAUAUCCCAUUAACAAAUAUUUGUCAUACGAAUCUCUCUCCACUUCACAUAGAAACUUCGUUAUCCAAGUCUUAGUAUCUAAAGACUGUUGAAUAAGCAGUUCCGUCUAAGGACUUAGGCUCAUGAAAGUUUUCUUGGAUUGGAGUUGGCAAGAUCGUCUUUGGCCUAUUUUUAUCCCACAGACAUUAUGCUUUACAGUUCGUUGAAGAUACAGAAUUGCUUGGUGCCAAACCAAGUAUCAUUCCGAUGGAUCCUUCAAUAAAACCCUCCUCUUCAGAAGAAGAUUUGUUACAUGAUGCUUCAAUUUAUAGACGAAUAAUUAGUCGUUUGUUAUAUUUGACAAUUUCACGAUCAGAUAUUACUUUUUUUGUGCAUAAACUCAGCCAGUUUACGUCUAAAACAAACAAAACCCAUUUGAAUGCUGUUAGCUACUUGAUUCGUUACAUCAAAGGAACAGCCGGCAAAUUUUUUCUGUCUAGAGUUCCAGAUUUCUCAAUCCAGCCUUGUGCUGAUGCUGAUUGGGCUCAUGUGUUGACACUAGGAGGUCUAUUACAGGGUUUUGUGUUUUUCUUGGUGGCUCAUUGAUAUCUUGGAAGUCCAAGAAACAACAAACGGUUUCCCGGUUAUCUGCAGAAGCAGAAUACCGUGCAAUGGUCGUUGCUUCAUGUGAGAUUGUAUGGCUUAAAAGUCUUUUCAUGGAACUUCAAGUUAACUCUCCAAAACCAGCUCCUCUUUUGUGACAACCAAGGUGCAAUACAUAGAGCUUUGAAUCCCAUGUUCCACGAACGAACAAAACACAUAGAGCUUGAUUGUCAUUUUAUAAGAGAUCAAGUUGCUGAUGGAUCAAUCAAGUUAAUGCCCAUAUGCUCCUCUGCUCAACUAGCUGACAUUUUUACUAAAGCCAUUGACUGCUGCUGUCCUAUUUCCCUUGAUGAGCAAGAUGGGUGUCAAAGAAUAACUCUCCAUCUUGAGGGGGAGUAUUAGAAAAGGUUUAGUUAUUAACAGUUGUAAUUAGUUUGAUAGGUCGUUAUUUUAUUAGUUUUAUUCAACAACCUAUCCCUCCUGUCCAUUUGUAUAAAUAUUACCGUUUUGUAAUUAAUAAAAAGUGUGAGAGCUGAUUACCUUAA